rnacentral:rRNA from 1 species
GACGAACCGUGCGAACGUUGUUCGGAUUCACUGGGCUUAAAGGGCGCGUAGGCGGGUCAUCAAGUCCGGGGUGAAAUCUUUCGGCUCAACCGGAAAAGGGCCUUGGAUACUGGUGAUCUCGAGGGGGGUAGGGGCGUGUGGAACUUCCGGUGGAGCGGUGAAAUGCGUAGAUAUCGGAAGGAACGCCGGUGGCGAAAGCGACGCGCUGGACCCCUUCUGACGCUGAGGCGCGAAAGCCAGGGGAGCAAACGGG